GUGAUUCUCCUGCCUCAGCCUCCUGAGUAGCUGGGAUGACAGGCGUCCGCCACCAGACCCAGGUUGGCCAGGGUUCACCUCCGAUGGGUGGGCAGGUGAGCACUUCCAGCAGCUUCUCCAACCUGCGCUGCAGAAAUGCCAACGAGGACUGGAUGUCGACACUGUGUCCCCGGCUGUGGGAUGUGCCCCUCCACCACCUCUCCAUCCCAGGGAGCCACGACACCAUGACCUACUGCCUGAACAAGAAGUCCCCCAUUUCGCACGAGGAGUCCAGGCUGCUGCAGCUGCUGAACAAGGCCUUCCCCUGCAUCACACGCCCCAUAGUGCUGAAAUGGUCCAUCACCCAGGCACUGGACGUCACGGAGCAGCUGGACGCCGGGGUGCGGUACCUGGACCUGCGGAUCGCUCACAUGCUGGAAGGCUCGGAGAAGAACCUGCACUUCGUCCACAUGGUGUACACAACGGCCCUGGUGGAGGACACGCUCACGGAAAUCUCGGAGUGGCUAGAGCGGCACCCACGUGAGGUGGUCAUCCUGGCCUGCAGGAACUUCGAGGGGCUGACCGAGGACCUGCACGAGUACCUGGUCGCCUGCAUAAAGAAUAUUUUCGGGGACAUGCUGUGUCCUCGUGGGGAGUUGCCGACGCUGCGGCAGCUGUGGUCCCGGGGCCAGCAGGUCAUCGUCUCCUAUGAGGACGAGAGCUCCCUGGGCCGGCACUGCGAGCUGUGGCCAGGAAUCCCCUACUGGUGGGGAAACACGGUGAAGACCGAGGCCCUCCUCCGAUACCUGGAGACCAUGAAGAGCUGUGGCCGCCCAGGAGGGUUGUUCGUAGCCGGCACCAACCUCACGGAGAACCUGCAGUACGUUCUGGCACACCCGUCCGAGUCCCUGGAGAAGAUGACGCUGCCCAACCUUCCCCGGCUGAGCGCGUGGGUCCGAGAGCAGCGCCCGGGGCCGGGCUCACGGUGCACCAACGUCAUCGCGGGCGACUUCAUUGGAGCGGACAGCUUCGUCGGGGACGUCAUCGCUCUCAACCAGAAGCUGCUUUGGUGCUGACGUGGGGGUUCAGGACGCGGGGGCUGAAGUUUCACCCCCAACUUUCCAACGUCUGGACCCCUGACAGACCCAGGGAAACACUUCCACAGCUCACUAAUUCCGAACAGGACAACUCACCUAGGGGCCAGCCUGCCCUGUGCAAGCCAGCCAGCCCCUCCGCUGCUCUCACACCAAAGCCUAAUACAUUCAUUGCCCCGACGCCACCAUGGGACACGAGACCGUGUGUGAACACAGCUGGGCGGAGGAGCCAUUCGGUGCCCCACCAGGGCCACGGCUCACGGCAGGUGCAGGAGGAACUGGAAACGCUGCUUACGGAAGUCAAAACAAAGGUUUAAUGUCCUGCUACGGAAACAUUCCGAGGGGAGCCAGUUCACGGCAGGCACUGAGGGCCCGCUGGAAUCGUGUGGAGUGGACGCUCGGGAGAGACCCACUUUGGGGCAGCCGUGGCCGUGACACCAGCCUGUGCGUUCAUCCCAGCAAAUGGCUGGCAACAAGGCGGGCCCAAAGCCAGACAGGGGGCACCCGGUGGCACCCGACACACAGCAGCAACGCCACAGCUCCCCAGACCUCCACGGGGGUCCGUUCAUCCUGGAAAGAGCUUCCGGAAUUUGCCGUAGGCCGAGUCGCUGAUGAUGACCGUCACGUCGGCCGCCCCGUCCUCAGGGAUCACGUCCACAUCCUGAACCGUGGCCUCCUUAUAUAGCCAGCUGUGGAGAGACGCGCGUUGUACGGAAACAAGCAGAACCCGUCAGUAUUUUAGUUUCACAGUAAAUAAUGACACUAAAAAGAGCUCAGCCCAAACUAUUCAUUCAUCAGACCAUUCUGUUUCCCUGUUUUUUCUUUGUGAGAUGGAGUCUCGCUCUGUCGCCCAGGCUGGAGUGCAGUGGCACGAUCUCGG